GACGAACGCUGACGGUGUGCUUUAGACAUGCAAGUCGAACGAGAAAGCCCUUCGGGGUUAGUAAAGUGGCGAACGGGUGAGUAACACGUGGGCAAUCUGCCCCUCGCAGGGGGACAACCGGAGGAAACCCCGGCUAAUACCCCGUAAGUUCAAAGGGAGGCAUCUCCCCUUGAAGAAAGGUAGCUUCGGCCAUCCGGCGAGGGAUGAGCCCGCGGUGCAUUAGCUAGUUGGUGGGGUAACGGCCCACCAAGGCGACGAUGCAUAGCUGGUCUGGGAGGAUGAUCAGCCACACUGGGACUGAGACACGGCCCAGACUCCUACGGGAGGCAGCAGUCGGGAAUCUUGCGCAAUGGGCGAAAGCCUGACGCAGCGACGCCGCGUGAGGGAUGACGGCCUGG
rnacentral:rRNA from 1 species